rnacentral:rRNA from 1 species
GAUUCCCUAGCUGGUUCUGAGAGGAUGAUCAGGCACACUGAGCUGAGAAGGUUCAGACUCUUACCGGAAGCAGCAGUGGGGAUAUGCACAUGGGGAAAUCCUGAUGCAGGCAUGGCGGCGUGUGUGAAGAAGGCUUCGGGUGUAAGCACUUUCAGUAGGGAGGAAGGGUAGUGUAGUUAACACUGCAUUAUUUGACGUUACCUACAGAAGAAGCACCGGCUAACUCCGUGCCAGCAGCCGCGGUAAUACGGAGGGUGCGAGCGUUAAUCGGAAUUACUGGGCGUAAAGCGCAUGCAGGCGGCCUGUUAAGUCAGAUGUGAAAGCCCGGGGCUUAACCUCGGAAUUGCAUUUGAAACUGGCAGGCUAGAGUCUUGUAGAGGGGGGUAGAAUUUCAGGUGUAGCGGUGAAAUGCGUAGAGAUCUGAAGGAAUACCAGUGGCGAAGGCGGCCCCCUGGACAAAGACUGACGCUCAGAUGCGAAAGCGUGGGGAGCAAACAGGAUUAGAUACCCUGGUAGUCCACGCCGUAAACGAUGUCUACUUGGAGGUUGUGGCCUUGAGCCGUGGCUUUCGGAGCUAACGCGUUAAGUAGACCGCCUGGGGAGUACGGUCGCAAGAUUAAAACUCAAAUGAAUUGACGGGGGCCCGCACAAGCGGUGGAGCAUGUGGUUUAAUUCGAUGCAACGCGAAGAACCUUACCUACUCUUGACAUCCAGAGAAGCUUGAAGAGAUUCGAGUGUGCCUUCGGGAACUCUGAGACAGGUGCUGCAUGGCUGUCGUCAGCUCGUGUUGUGAAAUGUUGGGUUAAGUCCCGCAACGAGCGCAACCCUUAUCCUUGUUUGCCAGCACUUCGGGUGGGAACUCCAGGGAGACUGCCGGUGAUAAACCGGAGGAAGGUGGGGACGACGUCAAGUCAUCAUGGCCCUUACGAGUAGGGCUACACACGUGCUACAAUGGCAUAUACAGAGGGCAGCAAGACCGCGAGGUGGAGCGAAUCCCAGAAAGUAUGUCGUAGUCCGGAUCGGAGUCUGCAACUCGACUCCGUGAAGUCGGAAUCGCUAGUAAUCGUGGAUCAGAAUGCCACGGUGAAUACGUUCCCGGGCCUUGUACACACCGCCCGUCACACCAUGGGAGUGGGCUGCACCAGAAGUAGAUAGCUUAACCUUCGGGAGGGCGUUACCACGGUGGUCC